CCAAAAGCGGGUCUGGUCUCUGCCCAGCCCCACUUUGGCUGGCGUGCUUAGGUGCCUCUCGGGAAGCUGGAGACCACCCUCCCCCAUUCCAGCAAACGCUCCAUUGAGGAACCUACUGCGUGCCAGGUCCUGGGGAGCUUAGCGUCUGAUGAAGGAUACAACAACAAAAGACUGGAAAUUCAGAAGCAUGAGGGGACCUCCCCCCUCGAGGGAGAACCAGAGAUGGCUUCACAGAGCAGACGUUUGAACUGGGCCUUGGAGGAUGGAUGAGUGGAAUUUGGCCCAGUGGAGAAAGUCAUAGCAGCAGGAGAUAAGAUUGUAAGGGUCAGGUGGUGGGGCUGGAUAAUGCGAAUCUUGACUGUCAGACACAGACACCUGCCAUCUAAUUAGUACGCGAGGGAUAAAUUUUGGACUCCGCAGGAUAAGGACAAGGCUACACAAUGGCUUAGAACAGUUAAUCGGGCAACAGUUGGAAAGGG
rnacentral:lncRNA from 1 species